rnacentral:rRNA from 1 species
GGACUACUGGGGUAUCUAAUCCUGUUUGCUCCCCACGCUUUCGUGUCUCAACGUCAGGUAUGAACCAAGAAGCUGCCUUCGCCAUUGGUGUUCCUCCCGAGAUCCACGCAUUUUACCGCUACUCCGGGAAUUCCACUUCUCUCUCUCACCCUCUAGCUCGCCAGUUUUCAUUGCAACCCCCUAGUUAGGCUAGAGUCUUUAACAACAAACUUAACAAACCGCCUACACACUCUUUACGCCCAGUAAUUCCGAAUAACGCUUGCACCCUUCGUAUUACCGCGGCUGCUGGCAC